rnacentral:tRNA from 1 species
GGCCUGGUGGUCUAGUAGUAUGAUUCCUUGUUAGGGUAACCGUGUUUCGAGGAGGUCCCGGGUUCAAUUCCCGGCCAGGCCC